rnacentral:rRNA from 1 species
CGCGGCCUAUCAGCUUGUUGGCGAGGUAACGGCUCACCAAGGCGACGACGGGUAGCCGGCCUGAGAGGGCGACCGGCCACACUGGGACUGAGACACGGCCCAGACUCCUACGGGAGGCAGCAGUGGGGAAUAUUGCACAAUGGGCGAAAGCCUGAUGCAGCGACGCCGCGUGAGGGAUGACGGCCUUCGGGUUGUAAACCUCUUUCAGCAGGGAAGAAGCGAGAGUGACGGUACCUGCAGAAGAAGCGCCGGCUAACUACGUGCCAGCAGCCGCGGUACUACGUAGGGCGCAAGCGUUGUCCGGAAUUAUUGGGCGUAAAGAGCUCGUAGGCGGCUUGUCACGUCGGUUGUGAAAGCCCGGGGCUUAACCCCGGGUCUGCAGUCGAUACGGGCAGGCUAGAGUUCGGUAGGGGAGAUCGGAAUUCCUGGUGUAGCGGUGAAAUGCGCAGAUAUCAGGAGGAACACCGGUGGCGAAGGCGGAUCUCUGGGCCGAUACUGACGCUGAGGAGCGAAAGCGUGGGGAGCGAACAGGAUUAGAUACCCUGGUAGUCCACGCCGUAAACGGUGGGCACUAGGUGUGGGCAACAUUCCACGUUGUCCGUGCCGCAGCUAACGCAUUAAGUGCCCCGCCUGGGGAGUACGG